rnacentral:rRNA from 1 species
UACGUAGGGUGCGAGCGUUGUCCGGAAUUACUGGGCGUAAAGAGUUCGUAGGCGGUUUGUCGCGUCGUUCGUGAAAACUUGGGGCUUAACUCCAAGCGUGCGGGCGAUACGGGCAGACUUGAGUACUACAGGGGAGACUGGAAUUCCUGGUGUAGCGGUGAAAUGCGCAGAUAUCAGGAGGAACACCGGUGGCGAAGGCGGGUCUCUGGGACGGUACUGACGCUGAGACGCGAAAGCGUGGGGAGCGAGCAGG